CAGCCGCCGCGGUAAUACCGGCGGCCCGAGUGGCGGCCACUCUUAUUGGGCUUAAAGCGUCCGUAGCCGGGUUGGUUAGUCUCCCGGGAAAUCUGGCCGCUUAACGGUCAGAAUUCCGGGAGAUACUGCCAGCCUAGGGACCGGGAGAGGCCGAGGGUAUUCCCGGAGUAGGGGUGAAAUCCUAUAAUCCCGGGAGGACCACCUGUGGCGAAGGCGCUCGGCUGGAACGGGUCCGACGGUGAGGGACGAAGGCCAGGGGAGCGAACCGGAUUAGAUACCCGGGUAGUCCCGGCUGUAAACGAUGCGGGCUAGCUGUUGGGUGGGCUUAGAGCCCACCCAGUGGCGCAGGGAAGCCGUUAAGCCCGCCGCCUGGGGAGUACGGCCGCAAGGCUGAAACUUAAAGGAAUUGGCGGG
rnacentral:rRNA from 1 species